AGAGUUUGAUCCUGGCUCAGAACGAACGCUGGCGGCAGGCCUAACACAUGCAAGUCGAGCGCACUCUUCGGAGUGAGCGGCGGACGGGUUAGUAACGCGUGGGAAUAUACCCUUCACUAUGGAAUAGCCUCGGGAAACUGAGAGUAAUACCAUAUACGCCCUUCGGGGGAAAGAUUUAUCGGUGAAGGAUUAGCCCGCGUAAGAUUAGAUAGUUGGUGGGGUAAUGGCCUACCAAGUCUACGAUCUUUAGCUGGUUUGAGAGGAUGAUCAGCAACACUGG
rnacentral:rRNA from 1 species